CCUACGGGUGGCAGCAGUGGGGAAUAUUGGGCAAUGGACGCAAGCCUGACCCAGCAAAGCCGCGUGAAGGAAGAAGGCUCUCGGGUUGUAAACUUCUUUUAAGGGGGAAGAGCAGAAGACGGUACCUGUUGAAUAAGCGACGGCUAACUACGUGCGAGGAGCCGCGGUACUACGGAGGUGGCAAGCGUUGUCCGGAUUUACUGGGUGUAACGGGCGUGCUGCGGGGAAGACAAGUCAGAUGGGAAAUCUACGGGCUCAACCCGUGAACUGCAUUUGAAACUGUUUCCCUUGAGUGGGGGAGAGGUAAGCGGAAUGCGUGGUGUAGCGGUGAAAUGCAUAGAUAUAAGGAAGAACACCGGUGGCGAAGGCAGAAUACUGGACGAUGACUGACGGUGAGGCGCGAAAGCGUGGGGAGCGAACAGGAUUAGAUACCCGGGUAGUC
rnacentral:rRNA from 1 species